ensembl:lncRNA
GAGAAAUAUUAAACUCCAUAGGGAGUUUGGGCCUGGACGUUCUCCCUGUGUGUUUUCCCCUAGGCUUCCCGCGCACGUCUAUUCUUGAUCCUUUUUAUCUGAACAACCUGAACUGGACCGGUGAUACAGCCAUGGACUGUUUAAUCUCUCUCCAACUCACUCUACUCCCCUGUCAAAUACAGACAAUACUAAUUAUUUCAAUACCUUAUAAUAUGAAUUAAAUUAGACGGGACCGUAUCUUUAAGGAUUCUUUGAAAUUUCAUGUAGACAAGUGCAAGCUAAUGUUCACUGGAAGGAACAACCGAAGCAGCUUCCACUCACUGAUGGGCUCUGAAUUACUCCACUUGUAAGUGCUCAGGAAAAAGAUCUCAGAUUCAUUGUGGAUUGCUCAAUGGAGACAUCUGCUCGCCGCGCAGCAGCAGUCAGAAGAAUGAAUGAGAGAUAAUAGGCUGUAUUAACUUUGAGAAUGGGAUAAAGAAGAAUGCAGAAAAUAAUAUAGUGC